ensembl:ncRNA F36H1.14 ncRNA
AUUUUAAGGAAACAUUUUGAAUCUCAAUAUGCUAAUCUGAAUUUAAUACGAUUAGAAAUACUUUAAUCGUCAAAAAAAUCAAUUUUCAAAAACCAAAAUUGACAGAAUGCUGUUUUAUUUCGAAAUUUAAGAAUAAAGAAAAGUAAUCAC